CCUACGGGAGGCAGCAGUGAGGAAUAUUGGUCAAUGGACGCAAGUCUGAACCAGCCAUGCCGCGUGCAGGAAGACGGCUCUAUGAGUUGUAAACUGCUUUUGUACGAGGGUAAACUCAGAUACGCGUAUCUGUCUGAAAGUAUCGUACGAAUAAGGAUCGGCUAACUCCGUGCCAGCAGCCGCGGUAAUACGGAGGAUUCAAGCGUUAUCCGGAUUUAUUGGGUUUAAAGGGUGCGUAGGCGGUCGGAUAAGUUAGAGGUGAAAUCCCGAGGCUCAACUUCGGAAUUGCCUCUGAUACUGUUAGGCUAGAGAGUAGUUGCGGUAGGCGGAAGGUAUGGUGUAGCGGUGAAAUGCUUAGAGAUCAUACAGAACACCGAUUGCGAAGGCAGCUUACCAAGCUACGUCUGACGUUGAGGCACGAAAGCGUGGGGAGCAAACAGGAUUAGAUACCCGGGUAGUC
rnacentral:rRNA from 1 species